rnacentral:rRNA from 1 species
AGCCAAACUUUUAAACAAACCAUAUCAACUUGUCUGAAUUUAUAUAAAAAUAUAAACAACUUUUGACAACGGAUCUCUUGGCUCUCGCAACGAUGAAGAACGCAGCGAAAUGCGAUACGUAAUGUGAAUUGCUUUCCGUGAAUCAUCGAAUCUUUGAACGCACAUUGCACUCCUCUGGAGUAUGCCUGUUUGAGAAUCUAUAGUAUUUAUUCUCUGUGAUUUCAUUCGUGAAUAAGCAGAGAGAUAUGAAGCUCCCACCAUUGGCUGGGUUCUUUUAAAUAGAUUGCUACUAGUAAUACGAAAAUGCUUGACAUUUCUCUAUAUCUUUUAGAAAAGUAUGUGUAUGAAACUGUGGUUUCUCAUAAUGCCUAUUAUCUUAGAGGAGACUUGAAGUUUUCAUAUGAACAGUUUAGUCCAUACCUAUAAAGGCGCAAGCCUUGAACCAUGGUCUCAAAUCAGGUAGGAAGACCCGCUGAACUUAA